UACGGGGGGUGCGAGCGUUGUCCGGAAUCACUGGGCGUAAAGGGCGCGUAGGUGGUUUGAUAAGGGUGUGGUGAAAGCCCGGGGCUCAACCCCGGGUCUGCCGUGCCGACUGUCAAACUCGAGGGCUGUAGAGGCAGACGGAAUUCCGGGUGUAGCGGUGGAAUGCGUAGAGAUCCGGAGGAACACCAGUGGCGAAGGCGGCGUUCCUGGCCUGUAAGU
rnacentral:rRNA from 1 species